rnacentral:piRNA from 1 species
UGCCUUGCGUUCUAGUGGACCUGG